rnacentral:rRNA from 1 species
UACAGAGGUCUCAAGCGUUGUUCGGAUUCAUUGGGCGUAAAGGGUGCGUAGGCGGCCACUGCAAGUCAGUUGUGAAAUCUCCGGGCUUAACCCGGAAAGGUCAACUGAUACUGCAGGGCUAGAGUGCAGAAGGGGCAACUGGAAUUCUCGGUGUAGCGGUGAAAUGCGUAGAUAUCGAGAGGAACACCUGCGGCGAAGGCGGGUUGCUGGGCUGACACUGACGCUGAGGCGCGAAAGCCAGGGGAGCGAACGGG